rnacentral:rRNA from 1 species
CGGCCACGGUACCCUAACCGUGCGAAGGUAGCAUAAUAACUUGUUCUUUAAAUGCGGACUUGUAUCAACGGCACCACGAGGGCCAUACUGUCUCCUCCACCCAAUCAGUGAAACUAACCUCCCCGUGAAGAGGCGGGGGUUCAACUAUAAGACGAAAAGACCCUAUGGAGCUUUAAACCCAGCAGGCACCUAUCAGUUCAUACCCAUAUUUAUAAACCUGCCCCCUGGUUUUAGGUUGGGGCGACCACGGAGUAGAAAACAACCUCCGCGCCGAAUGGUAGAACCCCUAAUUAAAGAGCCACUCCUCUAAAAAUCAGAAUACUGACGCAACUGACCCGAAAAGAUCAACGAACCAAGUUACCCUAGGGAUAACAGCGCAAUUCAUCUUAAAAGCCCGUAUUGAAAGAUGAGCUUACGACCUCGAUGUUGGAUCAGGGUGUCCAAGUGGUGCAGCCGCUACUAAAGGUUCGUUUGUUCAACGAUUAAAACCCUACGUGA